rnacentral:rRNA from 1 species
GAAGGGGGCUAGCGUUGUUCGGAAUUACUGGGCGUAAAGGGCGCGUAGGCUGUGCUGUAAGUCAGGCGUGAAAUCCCCGGGCUCAACCUGGGAAUUGCGUUUGAUACUGCGGCGCUGGAAUGCAGGAGAGGAUGGCGGAAUUCCCAGUGUAGAGGUGAAAUUCGUAGAUAUUGGGAAGAACACCGGUGGCGAAGGCGGCCAUCUGGCCUGUAAUUGACGCUGAGGCGCGAAAGCGUGGGGAGCAAACAGGAUUAGAUACCCUGGUAGUCCACGCCGUAAACGAUGAGUGCUAGACGUCGGGGAGCUUGCUCUUCGGUGUCGCCGCUAACGCAUUAAGCACUCCGCCUGGGGAGUACGGUCGCAAGAUUA